CCUGGUGGCUUUCAGCGUAGCGAUCAGACCCGAUCCCAUCCCGAACUCGGCCGUCAAACGCUACAGCGCCAAUGGUACUAUGUCUUAAGACCUGGGAGAGUAGGUCGUCGCCAGGC
rnacentral:rRNA from 1 species